rnacentral:rRNA from 1 species
UACGUAGGGGGCUAGCGUUGUCCGGAAUCAUUGGGCGUAAAGCGCGUGUAGGCGGUCCGAUAAGUCCGCUGUGAAAGUCGAGGGCUCAACCCUCGAAUGCCGGUGGAUACUGUCGGGCUUGAGUACGGGAGAGGCGAGUGGAAUUCCUGGUGUAGCGGUGAAAUGCGCAGAUAUCAGGAGGAACACCAAUGGCGAAGGCAGCACUCUGGGACGUGACUGACGCUGAGACGCGAAAGCGUGGGGAGCAAACAGG